UACGAAGGUCCCAAGCGUUGUUCGGAAUCACUGGGCGUAAAGGGAGCGUAGGCGGCGUGGUAAGUCAGAUGUGAAAUCCCGGGGCUCAACCCCGGAACUGCAUCCGAUACUGCCAUGCUAGAGGAUUGGAGAGGUAGCUGGAAUUCUUGGUGUAGCAGUGAAAUGCGUAGAGAUCAAGAGGAACACUCGUGGCGAAAGCGAGCUACUGGACAAUUCCUGACGUGAGGCUCGAAGGCUAGGGUAGCGAAAGGG
rnacentral:rRNA from 1 species